GUUAUCUUCAAGUAGCUGUCUUAUUAUUUCCUAUAUUGCCAACCAUUAGUAUUAUUUAGACCCAGAGCAUUUUAUUUCUCUUUUCCCUAUGUUUGAUUAUAUUUUUAAUUUCUAUGUGAAUUUCCAGAAGAUGCUUUUAGCUAGCCAAACGAAAACCCCUUGUGGCACAUUAUUUUAAGACAGAAUUUGGAAUUUGACACACCUGGAUUUGAUUCCUGGAUCUAUCAUUUAAGCUUUAUAACCUUGAACAUGUUAAUCUCUCUCAGGUACUAUUUCCUCGCUUAGAAAAUAAAGGAUGAAAUGAACUACACUAUUGGAGCUACUAUAAAGAUGAAAGAAGAUGAAAGUUUUCAGUAGGAUUGUUGCCAUGUAGUAAACCCCUUAUAAAUAGUAUGUAUAAUAAUUUGUCACAUGCUGUUAGGUUAAGCCAUCAACAACAAACAUGGCAAUAAUUCAAGUUCAAAAAUACAGACGGGUUUGAAUUAACAUUGCACAAUGAUUUGUUUGUGUUUUCUUGUUUUUCCAAAUUCAGUGUUAUAUUCUACUUUCAUAUUUUGUGAGCAUUUAUUAACUGAACGACUGCCACAUGCAUGGCAGUGUGCUAAAUAUUUGAGUGCAUUAUGAUUUCACCCAUUAUGGGGUUUAAAUCCAUCUGAAAAGUAAAGAUUAAGACCCAUGAAUCUGUGCAUAAUUCAAAUGAUACUUAUUCACGUGUAUUGUGUGGUAGAGAAAAUGAAUGUAUAGGAAAGAAAGAGAAUGAAAGUGAAUGAGGAGGAAAAUUAAAUACAGUCAGGAAAGGCUUGAUAAAGGACUUAAGAACUUGAAUAUGAUUGUGAAACAUAGUUAUAAUUUCUAAGAACAGCUGAGGAAAAAAGCUUAAUUUGUAUAGUUUAUGAAGGAAUGCAUAUGUUUGUGUUUCACAGAAUUUAGAGUUAAGAAUACACACACACACUACACAGAAACUCAGAAAACCUAUGCUACUUGCUCAGGUAAUUAAUUACUAGUCAAUGGUAAAGUUCAAACUGAUGUCUAGGUCUCCUGCUCCUGUUCCAGUACAUUUUUACCGCAAUACAUUGAGUGAGCAAGCUUUCAAAAGCUUCUUGAAUUAUUCAUAUGGAUAUGGAAAAUCCUAUCUUACAACAUAAGGC
rnacentral:lncRNA from 1 species